rnacentral:rRNA from 1 species
AUUCGAAGCAACGCGAAGAACCUUACCAGGUCUUGACAUCCUCUGACACUCCUAGAGAUAGGACAUUCCCCUUCGGGGGACAGAGUGACAGGUGGUGCAUGGUUGUCGUCAGCUCGUGUCGUGAGAUGUUGGGUUAAGUCCCGCAACGAGCGCAACCCUUGAUCUUAGUUGCCAGCAUUAAGUUGGGCACUCUAAGGUGACUGCCGGUGACAAACCGGAGGAAGGUGGGGAUGACGUCAAAUCAUCAUGCCCCUUAUGACCUGGGCUACACACGUGCUACAAUGGAUGGUACAAAGGGCAGCAAAACCGCGAGGUCGAGCAAAUCCCAUAAAGCCAUUCUCAGUUCGGAUUGCAGGCUGCAACUCGCCUGCAUGAAGCCGGAAUCGCUAGUAAUCGCGGAUCAGCAUGCCGCGGUGAAUACGUUCCCGGGCCUUGUACACACCGCCCGUCACACCACGAGAGUUUGUAACACCCGAAGUCGGUGAGGUAACCUUUUGGAGCCAGCCGCCGAAGGUGGGACAGAU